rnacentral:lncRNA from 1 species
CCCAACCUUUUUGGCCCAUGGUAGGCCGAACACAAUACAUUUGCUCUCCCCAAGUGGACUGAACUACAGACCAUAGCACAGUUCUUUCUGAAGUAAGUCACCUUUAUGGUUCUUGGUAUCUGUUAUAGGUUGUGAAUCCAUCAAUCAGAAGAUGUACAUCAGCAAUAACCACAAGCAUAAUAUGAUCUGAGCCUCCCCGACAGCUCGGGAGGGAGCACCGGUAUCCCUUGGGAUAUGUUGCCUCAGCAAAACUGUUUAACACUGAACAAGAGAUGGCAGCCCCAGGAUUCAGAGGCUGUCUAGCCUUGUGGGAGCUUCCUUCCAUUGCCAGAUAUCCCUCUUCUCCUCCCAAGCACUGAACCAGCUACCUCCUUGAACACUUCCUCUUCCCAUCCUUUCUAAGACUCAGCAGUCAACGACCAUCAUUCUUGUUGCAUGGAAUUGUGACUUUGGAUGUUGUACACAUCUCACUCCCCGAUGGUCCUUUUCAUCCAUUGCCUCUAGCCCAUGGAUGUCAAGUGUCUUAGUCCAUG